ACUGUAAAGACAUCAGUAUCAAUCUUUCCAAAGCAGAGGGCAAGUGUAUUGUCAGGAGGGAAAUGAACUUACAACAGCAAAAAUGCUGGGGGCAGGAGACUAUGGGUAGGCAUUUAUUUUCAGUAGCUAGUAGAGUGACAGAUUCAGUAAAUAGCUGUAGAAGAAACAGGAGGAAAAGAAAGGAUGAAGUCACUAUUGCUAGACUGAGAAUUAGUUAUACUUUCUUUAACAGUGCUCUCUUCCUCCUAGGAAAGCACCAGGAUGGACUAUGUUUGGAAUGUCCACAGCCAGAAACAGUGCAGCAUGUCCUCAUGUAUUGUAACAAAUAUUCCAGAGAAAGGCAAGAGCUUCUCUCAGAAUUUAGAAUUAUAGGCCUGAAAGAAGUUUCUGUAGAUGUAUUUUAGACAUAGGGUCAAGUAGGAGGGGGAAGUGUUGGCUUUUUAAAUACUUGAAAUAUACUGAACUCAAUGAGAGGAUUUAGUACUGCUAUAACAGACUGAUGCAGACGGUGGCACUGAUGCAACAAUAAGUAUGCCGGCUGCCGUUAACCGGCACAGAAGAAGAGAGGUGCGCUUAAUUUAUUCACUGGGGCAGAUUUUGAGAAAGCC